AUUGAACGCUGGCGGCAGGCCUAACACAUGCAAGUCGAGCGCGCCGCGGGGGGGUGAAUAAUCUCUGGGAAACCCCCUGAUGGAGGGAGCUCACUACUAGACACGGUAUAUUAUACCGCAUACCCUCACAUGCGCCCAUAUGGGAUUAGCUAGUAGGUGGGGUAAUGGCUCACAGAGGCGGCGAUCCCUAGCUGGUCAGAGAGGGAGACAGGCCACACUGGAACUGAGACACGGUCCAGACUCCUACGGGAGGCAGCAGUGGGGAAUAUUGCACAAUGGGCGCAAGCCUGAUGCAGCCAUGCCGCGUGUGUGAAGAAGGACUUCGGGUUGUAAAGAACUUUCAGCGAGGAGGCGUUAAACGCAGAAGAAGCACCGGCUAACUCCGUGCCAGCAGCCGCGGUAAUUC
rnacentral:rRNA from 1 species